rnacentral:rRNA from 1 species
UACGAAGGGGGCUAGCGUUGCUCGGAAUCACUGGGCGUAAAGCGCACGUAGGCGGCUUCUUAAGUCAGGGGUGAAAUCCUGGAGCUCAACUCCAGAACUGCCUUUGAUACUGGGAAGCUUGAGUCCGGAAGAGGUGAGUGGAACUCCGAGUGUAGAGGUGAAAUUCGUAGAUAUUCGCAAGAACACCAGUGGCGAAGGCGGCUCACUGGCCCGGUACUGACGCUGAGGUGCGAAAGCGUGGGGAGCAAACAGG